ensembl:lncRNA
UGGUUUGAUAUUUUCCUUUUCCAAUAGUCUCACUUUAUUAGAUACCACAUCAAGAGAGGAUGUUGUGCUGCAUGCAGCGGAAGACUGGAGUAGCUCUAGUUCCUGUGUAACAUCUUCUUUUUCUCUUAAUAGUUGUAAACUGAUACUUUGCUGUAAAAUCACUGCAUGCAAGUUUGAAUGCAAACAGCAGAAGAGGCUUUUUGUUCUUGUUUCCACCAUUCCCAAUCCAUAUGUGCAUGCUUUAUUUACAACAAAAAGAAGUCAUUCAGGGCAGGAAUUCCCAUCAGAAAAACAGAGAAGAGGGUGGCAGAGACAGAGGACUGGGGUUUGCUCAGUACCAAUGGGGGAAUUGGCAAGUUGCAGUUGAUGUUUAUGGGUGCAAAGAGAUGCUUUGAAUAUCAUUUGUCUGAAGGGAAAAGAGGCUGUGUAGGAAUGACAGAAGGACAUGGGUAAAGGCAACCUUAAUUUAAACGUCCCACACACAAAAAGGAGGCUGGGCUGCUGCAGGUCUGGAAUAAAUCAAGGAAUUGCUUGGAUUUUGGGGUUUUUUUUCCAUUUAAAAGCUAAUUUCAGCCCCAGGCCCACGUUCCCAGCACACCUCUGAGCCCAACUGCUGCUCUGGGAGCUAGAGGCAGGUUUUGGCCAUUGUAAAAGGGAUGACAACAGCAUCCUGCAGCCAAACCAUCACUUCCCAGUGGAGCAAGGGUUCAGGCACGGCUGCAUAGGGCACAGAGAGAAACAGUCCAAAAGAAUGGGGUUGUUUCCACCUGAAUCCUCAACAUAGCCUGCACCAAGGCCAGCGUGGCUCAGGGACCCUGGGACGUUGCACUUACUGCUGCAGAACGGAGAACUGCACAAAAGGAAGAGGCAUAGUUUCAGUGUCCUCUCCCAUCACACGUCUCUGAGCAUCAUGACCCAAGCAGCCACAGGAUGGAGCCCGGGGUGAUGGAAGAGCUUAUCCCAGCUCAGUCUGAGCGGAGCAGAGGAUGCACAUGCUGGUUGAGGUUUGUUUUCCCCAUGCAUGGUCCAAGGGUGGAGAGCUGGGGCUAGGGGGGAAGCAGACUUCCUUGGAGGAGCAAGCCUGGAGCUGGCCUGGGGAAGGGCUACUCUGCAGCAGUGCUUUGCAUGCAGGUGUUAGCAUUGCUCGGCACAUAGCCCCACCAACUGCAGCAUCCCAGCCCUGCAGAGAUGCUCACUGCAGGUCAGCACUCAGCAAAUUCCGUUGGGGGAAGGUGGAGGGAAAAAUCAUUUAAAUAAUAUCAAGAAUAGGAAAAUAACUCAUCCAAUUCAAAAGAAAGAGCUCUGCAGCACAGCUGAACUGAGGACAGGCCACAUGCCAGCUGACUGCAGCAGCGGUUGCAAUGGAAGUCAUGGGAGAAGAGCACGAACCAAGGGGCUGGGGCUCAGGUUCCAUACAACGUGCGCAGCGUGUAGCUGACCAACACUAUGUUCCAGUAGUGCUUAUUGUGCUACUAUCAACAUUGCUAGGCUUGAGGUUGUCCAGAGACAGCGAGUGGGGCCAAACCUGGUCAGCAUCAGUCUGAGCACAUCCCGAUGCUCCUGCUAUCGAGAACAGAUCAAACACCUCCAGAGGAUCAUGAAGAGCAGGUUGAAGACAACGGUUCUUGUGCAGAUUUCAGAAGAAAAUAAGCAAACAAACUAAUAACAAACCCCAAAGUUUGGGAGACCUCUCCCUGUUCCAGCUAAUUUCAGUAUUGGUGGUAUUUCAAAGCAAUCAUCCCUGCACACAUCAGCUAACUGGCGGGAAGUGUCAUCUCCCUCGGCUUCCCUCCUGCAUGUGGUAGGGCAAACAGUGGGCAGCAGAGAGGGUGGUCCAAGGAAGGCCCAGGGGCUCAGCUAGUCGGUACUAUGUGCUAGGAUGUGAAGAGGAGGUAGUCACAAGCUUGAAAGAGGGGUGGGCUCCUACAUCAAUGGAGCCAUGCAUGGUGGUUGGAAAUGAACACGAACCAACCCAAAUCUCUGUUUCCCUGAGAGCACAGAGUGGCUCCCUAUUUCUCAUCAUUAUUGGUGGAUCUUCUCAGCAAAGGAUGUACCACGAUAUUGCUCAAGUGUGCCAAAUCAGAACUAAAGCUCAAGCGGGACUCGCAGGAUUACAUC